CCCCCGCAGUGCUAGGCAAAUUGAAAGGCUGCGAUUUGUUCAUGUUAGAGGGAGAGACAGGAAAUGAUGUGGAAAAAGGGGUGUAAAAGGUGAGACUGAACAUGAUCUGGUAUGUUUUUGCUGGGGCAUUCUGCACUGGAGAGACUUGCUGGAUGAGUGACUCAGGCUGAAGGAAGAGGAUUGUGUUGGUAGACUUGUGGCUGAAGAAGGCACCGGGACUUCUAUGUGGAGAUCAGGACUUAAGGGAGCCCUUGCUGGGAAAUGAGACAAUCUUUAUCAGGUCAACACUUAGGCUGGCAUUUACAAAGUACCCACCCUGUGCCAAGCUGUAUGAAUACAGAAACAAAAGCAAAAUAGUACUGAUCUCAGGACCUGACAGUAUCCUAAAGAAAAAUGAUUUGGACAUAACUUUGGGCAGGAGUCUACUACAAACUCAAAUGGAAAGCAAAAGGAAAAGUCAAAGUAACACUCAUGCUGUGGGUGGAUUCACAGUCUAG
rnacentral:lncRNA from 1 species